rnacentral:rRNA from 1 species
GACGUGCUAAUCUGCGAUAAGCGUCGGUAAGGUGAUAUGAACCGUUAUAACCGGCGAUUUCCGAAUGGGGAAACCCAGUGUGAUUCGUCACACUAUCAUUAACUGAAUCCAUAGGUUAAUGAGGCGAACCGGGGGAACUGAAACAUCUAAGUACCCCGAGGAAAAGAAAUCAACCGAGAUUCCCCCAGUAGCGGCGAGCGAACGGGGAGCAGCCCAGAGCCUGAAUCAGUGUGUGUGUUAGUGGAAGCGUCUGGAAAGGCGUGCGAUACAGGGUGACAGCCCCGUACACAAAAAUGCACAUACUGUGAGCUCGAUGAGUAGGGCGGGACACGUGGUAUCCUGUCUGAAUAUGGGGGGACCAUCCUCCAAGGCUAAAUACUCCUGACUGACCGAUAGUGAACCAGUACCGUGAGGGAAAGGCGAAAAGAACCCCGGCGAGGGGAGUGAAAAAGAACCUGAAACCGUGUACGUACAAGCAGUGGGAGCGCGCUUAGGCGUGUGACUGCGUACCUUUUGUAUAAUGGGUCAGCGACUUAUAUUCUGUAGCAAGGUUAACCGAAUAGGGGAGCCGAAGGGAAACCGAGUCUUAACUGGGCGUUAAGUUGCAGGGUAUAGACCCGAAACCCGGUGAUCUAGCCAUGGGCAGGUUGAAGGUUGGGUAACACUAACUGGAGGACCGAACCGACUAAUGUUGAAAAAUUAGCGGAUGACUUGUGGCUGGGGGUGAAAGGCCAAUCAAACCGGGAGAUAGCUGGUUCUCCCCGAAAGCUAUUUAGGUAGCGCCUCGUGAAUUCAUCUCCGGGGGUAGAGCACUGUUUCGGCAAGGGGGUCAUCCCGACUUACCAACCCGAUGCAAACUGCGAAUACCGGAGAAUGUUAUCACGGGAGACACACGGCGGGUGCUAACGUCCGUCGUGAAGAGGGAAACAACCCAGACCGCCAGCUAAGGUCCCAAAGUCAUGGUUAAGUGGGAAACGAUGUGGGAAGGCCCAGACAGCCAGGAUGUUGGCUUAGAAGCAGCCAUCAUUUAAAGAAAGCGUAAUAGCUCACUGGUCGAGUCGGCCUGCGCGGAAGAUGUAACGGGGCUAAACCAUGCACCGAAGCUGCGGCAGCGACGCUUAUGCGUUGUUGGGUAGGGGAGCGUUCUGUAAGCCUGUGAAGGUGUGCUGUGAGGUAUGCUGGAGGUAUCAGAAGUGCGAAUGCUGACAUAAGUAACGAUAAAGCGGGUGAAAAGCCCGCUCGCCGGAAGACCAAGGGUUCCUGUCCAACGUUAAUCGGGGCAGGGUGAGUCGACCCCUAAGGCGAGGCCGAAAGGCGUAGUCGAUGGGAAACAGGUUAAUAUUCCUGUACUUGGUGUUACUGCGAAGGGGGGACGGAGAAGGCUAUGUUGGCCGGGCGACGGUUGUCCCGGUUUAAGCGUGUAGGCUGGUUUUCCAGGCAAAUCCGGAAAA